CGUAAGAGUGAACAGUACAAGACAGUACGUUAGAGUGAAGAGCUCAGUGCUGGGACGCAGGGCUGAGUGCCUCCGGAUUCUGGGGAAGCCAAAGAAGGCACAUGGUGUGAGGAUGAGGAUGAGCCAUCACAUGCUGCUGUCACUCAUUGAACGGAAGCAAGAGAGGAUGACACGGGGAAUGCUACAGGAGCCUGGAACUCCCAAACCUAUUUGGGAGCUUUAAGGGGACCUCGACUAGGAGGAUGAGGGAGCUGCGAUUUGCCUGUGACGGCAACACCGUCCUUCCCCCCAGAAGCCAUCCCCGACUCCCGCGCCUCUCACCCUUGGACCACAGUCGCCCAGGAAAAGCGGAAAGGAAUUGGGAUACUUGUCCUGGGAGACAGGAAGCAAAAAGGAGAAAGGGGGUGAAGAUGAAAGAAUUUCGAGCUUCAAGAGAGAUAUACUGACAGAGUUCACAAAGGGGACCAUGUUUCUCAGCGAGAUUUCUACCAUAGAAUGAAUGGCUUUUAUAAUCAGAAAACAACAUUAUGUUUUAAAACUUCUCUUCAAUUAAAGCAGUCUAUUAAAGAUAACUGCUGCGUUCUGAAGAACCUAGGGGCAGGACAGGAAUAAAGACGCAGACGUAGAGAAUGGACUUGAGGACACAGGGAAGGGGAAGGGGAAGCUGGGAGAAAGUGAGAGAGUGGUAUGGACAUAU